UUUCUGACUCAUCUAAUUAUUAUUCUCGUUUGUUAGGGAUUAUCCGGACCUUCCUCUUCGCCUGCUGUUGUUCAGUCAGUUUUCUCCAUGCGUCCAAACAUCUCUCUCUCCUCGACUCUGACUGUACUGUGGACAUCAGUCCUCGCAGGAUGUCCUCAGCUUGACACGUUUGCUCCAGAAUCCUCUGCUCUGGAGUCUUUGGCGUGCCGUAAUGACUACCGCUCUCAUAUCCGCUGCAGCUGGAGAGACGAUCCUCCUGUUCUUCUCUCUCUGCUCCACAUGGAUCCAGAUGACCACCGAGUAUCGCCCUGUGUUCCGACUCCUAACCCUUCCCAGAAUCCCACUGGGAUGGAGAGAGUUUAUUGUCAGUAUAACACAUCUCUGUUUGCCAUCGGCUUUGAUGACUUGUUCUUCUUCCACAUGGCACACUCUUCCGGCAUUUCCAGGACCUUCAGACUCACAAAAUUUGGUACAAUUUGUACAAUAGAUUUAUACCAUAGACAUACCUAAGCAUUGGCUAUUUAUGUAAUGCUGAAGCUAAGUCUACUCUUGACUUCCCUAUAGAAGAUGCAGAUCCAUACUGGAAUUUUUACCAGCUAGAUGACACUCCACCACCUUCACCUCUGACCUCUGACCCCUUCAGACAGCAUGACCAAGAGCGCUCAGUGAGUGUCAAAACGACCACACUUUCAGUCAAAGGUCAUGCUAAACUGACACGAGAAUG
rnacentral:lncRNA from 1 species